AUUGAACGCUGGCGGCAGGCCUAACACAUGCAAGUCGAACGAGCGGCGGACGGGUGAGUAAUUUCUGGGAAACUGUCUGAUGGAGGGGGAUAACUACUGGAAACGGUAGCUAAUACCACAUACCGUCAGAUGUGCACAGGUGGGAUUAGCUAGUAGGUGGGGUAAGGGCUCACCUAGGCGACGAUCCCUAGCUGGUCUGAGAGGAUGACAGGCCACACGGGAACUGAGACACGGUCCAGACUCCUACGGGAGGCAGCAGUGGGGAAUAUUGCACAAUGGGCGCAAGCCUGAUGCAGCCACGCCGCGUGGGUGAAGAAAGCCUUCGGUUUGUAAAGCACUUUCAGCGAGGAGGCGUUACUCGCAGAAGAAGCACCGGCUAACUCCGUGCCAGCAGCCGCGGUAAUUC
rnacentral:rRNA from 1 species